rnacentral:rRNA from 1 species
UACAGAGGUCUCAAGCGUUGUUCGGAUUCAUUGGGCGUAAAGGGUGCGUAGGCGGCGCGGUAAGUCGGGUGUGAAAUCUCGGAGCUUAACUCCGAAACUGCAUUCGAUACUACCGUGCUUGAGGACUGGAGAGGAGACUGGAAUUUACGGUGUAGCGGUGAAAUGCGUAGAUAUCGUAAGGAAGACCAGUAGCGAAGGCGGGUCUCUGGACAGUUCCUGACGCUGAGGCACGAAGGUCAGGGGAGCAAACGGG